CUACAUAGCAUUAAUGUGUAAUUAACUACUUUUUCUGUCAAAUUUGUUGUAUAGCAUGAUGUUUUGGUGCUUCAUUUGUAAAAUCAUAAUCUAACUUGAGGUUUAAUAGGCUUUUCCUUAAUCCCUCCUUAUUAUCCAACAUGCUCGCUUAUCCAACAUUCAGCCGGCCCAUUUAUGUUUGAUAAGUGAGACUCUACUGUAUUACAUUUAUUUUACUCUAUUUUUAUUAUUAUUAUUAAUAUUUAUUAUUUCACUCUGAUCUUAUUAUUAUUAUUGCAUUUAUUAUUUUACUCUAUUAUUAUUACAGUAGAGUCUCACUUAUCCAACAUAAACGGGCCGGCAGAAUGUUGGAUAAGCGAGUAUGUUGGAUAAGUGAGACUCUACUGUACAUGUAUUAUUUUCCUGUAUUUAUUAUUAUUAUUAUUACAUGUAUUAUUUUACUCUAUUAUUAUUAAAAGGAUACAUAAACACAUUUACAUUGAAGAAGAUGAGAAUAAUGAUUUGAUCAGAGUUGAACAGUCUUAUCUUUAAUUUGAGCUUUAUGUAAAUAUUCAAAAACAUUUAACCUACUGAUGCCUCAAUUAAUGUAAUUUUAUUGGUAUUUUGGCUUAUACUGGAGUCAAUGUUUUCCCAUUUUUUUUGGUGGUAAAAUUAGGUGCCUCGGCUUAUAUUCGGGUCGGCUUAUACUCGAGUAUAUACAGUAAUUUGAUGUUUAAUAGGCUUUUCCUUAAUCCCUCCUUAUUAUCCAACAUAUUCGCUUAUCCAACGUUCUGCCGGCCUGUUUAUGUUGGAUAAGUGAGACUCUACUGUAGUAUGAUGUCUCUGGCCCUCACUUUCUGAUACUAAAGUUUGAUUGGCACUGAGAUAACUAAAGGUUCAACCUCACUGAUAUAAGCCAUUGAUGAAGAUCCUCAAGAGAACCAGGCCCAACUAAGCUGUGUUUUCCUUUCCUCAGUGUCAUCGGGUCCAGCUUCAUGAUUGGCUACGCCGUCUUCCAGAAUACAGCCCGCUCCCCUGAGGUCCGCCCCCUGUUCUACCUGAGUCUCUCGGAUCUCUUGCUGGCGGUCUGCUGGCUCGCUGGGGCCCUUCUUUAUAGCCAAGAGA
rnacentral:lncRNA from 1 species